rnacentral:rRNA from 1 species
UACGUAGGCAGCAAGCGUUGUUCGGAGUUACUGGGCGUAAAGAGUGCGUAGGCGGUCCUGUAAGUUUGGUGUGAAAUCUCCCGGCUCAACUGGGAGGGUGCGCCGAAGACUGCAGGGCUUGAGUUUGGGAGAGGGAUGCGGAAUUCCAGGUGUAGCGGUGAAAUGCGUAGAUAUCUGGAGGAACACCGGUGGCGAAGGCGGCAUCCUGGACCAACACUGACACUGAGGAGCGAAAGCCAGGGGAGCAAACGGG